rnacentral:rRNA from 1 species
CGAUGAUGCCCAGCUUGCUGGGUGGAUUAGUGGCGAACGGGUGAGUAACACGUGAGUAACCUGCCCCUGACUCUGGGAUAAGCGUUGGAAACGACGUCUAAUACUGGAUAUGAUCACUGGCCGCAUGGUCUGGUGGUGGAAAGAUUUUUUGGUUGGGGAUGGACUCGCGGCCUAUCAGCUUGUUGGUGAGGUAAUGGCUCACCAAGGCGACGACGGGUAGCCGGCCUGAGAGGGUGACCGGCCACACUGGGACUGAGACACGGCCCAGACUCCUACGGGAGGCAGCAGUGGGGAAUAUUGCACAAUGGGCGAAAGCCUGAUGCAGCAACGCCGCGUGAGGGAUGACGGCCUUCGGGUUGUAAACCUCUUUUAGUAGGGAAGAAGCGAAAGUGACGGUACCUGCAGAAAAAGCACCGGCUAACUACGUGCCAGCAGCCGCGGUAAUACGUAGGGUGCAAGCGUUGUCCGGAAUUAUUGGGCGUAAAGAGCUCGUAGGCGGUUUGUCGCGUCUGCUGUGAAAUCCCGAGGCUCAACCUCGGGCUUGCAGUGGGUACGGGCAGACUAGAGUGCGGUAGGGGAGAUUGGAAUUCCUGGUGUAGCGGUGGAAUGCGCAGAUAUCAGGAGGAACACCGAUGGCGAAGGCAGAUCUCUGGGCCGUAACUGACGCUGAGGAGCGAAAGCAU